UACAGAGGGUGCGAGCGUUAAUCGGAAUUACUGGGCGUAAAGCGUGCGUAGACGGUUAUAUAAGUCGGGUGUGAAAGCCCCGGGCUCAACCUGGGAAUUGCAUUCGAGACUGCAUAGCUAGGGUGCGGAAGAGGGAAGCGGAAUUUCCGGUGUAGCGGUGAAAUGCGUAGAUAUCGGAAGGAACACCGGUGGCGAAGGCGGCUUCCUGGACCAUUACUGACGCUGAGGCGCGACAGCGUGGGGAGCAAACAGG
rnacentral:rRNA from 1 species